rnacentral:rRNA from 1 species
AACGAACGCUGGCGGCAUGCCUAACACAUGCAAGUCGAACGAGCCCUUCGGGUCUAGUGGCGCCCGGGUGUGUAACGCGUGGGAACCUUCCCUUAUGUUCGGAAUAACUCUCCGAAAGGGGUGCUAAUACCGGAUAAUGUCUUCUGACCAAGGAUUUAUGGCCCUUGGAUGUGCCGUCGUUGGAUUAGCUAGUUGGUAGGGUAAAAGCAUACCAAGGCGAGGAUCCAUAGCUGGGAUGAGAGAAAGCUCAGCCACACUGGGACUAGGACACGGCCCAGACUCCUACGGAAGGCGGGAGUGGGGGAUGGUGGAAAAUGGGGGGAAGCCUGAUGCAGCUCGGACGCGUAAAUGAUGAUAGUAUUAAAGUUGUAAAGCGCUUGUACCCGGGAUGGUAAUGACAGUACCGGAAGAAUAAGCUCCGGCUAACUACGUG